rnacentral:rRNA from 1 species
UGCCAGCAGCCGCGGUAAUUCCAGCUCCAAUAGCGUAUACUAAAGUUGUUGCGGUUAAAAAGCUCGUAGUUGGAUCUUGGAAUGUGUUCAAGCGGGUCAGCUUCUGGCUGUGCGCUGCUUGACGUGUUCUUCUAUUUGGUUUUGGUGCGGUGCGCUUAACUGCGUGUCGCUCCCGGCCGAAACGUUUACCUUGAAAAAAUUAGAGUGUUCAAAGCAGACCUGUUUGAGUCUGAAUAUUCGUGCAUGGAAUAAUGAAAUAUGAAUUCGGUUCUAUUUUGUUGGUUUUCGGAACUCGAGUUAAUGAUCAAAAGGGACAGACGGGGGCAUUCGUACUCUGCCGUUAGAGGUGAAAUUCUUGGAUCGGCGGAAGACGCGCAACUGCGAAAGCAUUUGCCAAGAAUGUUUUCUUUAAUCAAGAACGAUAGUCGGAGGUUCGAAGACGAUCAGAUACCGUCCUAGUUUCGACUGUAAACUAUGCCAGCUAACGAUCAGACAGAGUUCUCUACGACUUGUCUGGCAGUUUCCGGGAAACCAAAGCGUUUGGGUUCCGGGGGAAGUAUGGUUGCAAAGCUGAAACUUAAAGGAAUUGACGGAAGGGCACCACCAGGAGUGGAGCCUGCGGCUUAAUUUGACUCAACACGGGGAAACUCACCCGGCCCGGACACAGUGAGGAUUGACAGAUUGAGAGUUCUUUCUUGAUUCUGUGGGUGGUGGUGCAUGGCCGUUCUUAGUUGGUGGAGCGAUUUGUCUGGUUAAUUCCGAUAACGAACGAGACUCUGGCAUGUUAAAUAGUCGCGGAAGUGCGUAUGCACUUGCCGAAUUGACUUCUUAGAGGGACUAGUGAUUUUAAUUCACACGAGAUUGAGCAAUAACAGGUCUGUGAUGCCAGGCGAAUCCGUUAACUGCAG